AACGAACGCUGGCGGCAUGCCUAACACAUGCAAGUCGAACGAGACCUUCGGGUCUAGUGGCGCACGGGUGCGUAACGCGUGGGAACCUGCCCUUAGGUUCGGAAUAACUCCCCGAAAGGGGUGCUAAUACCGGAUAAUGUCUCCGGACCAAAGAUUUAUCGCCUUUGGAUGGGCCCGCGUUGGAUUAGCUAGUUGGUAGGGUAAAAGCCUACCAAGGCGACGAUCCAUAGCUGGUCUGAGAGGAUGAUCAGCCACACUGGGACUGAGACACGGCCCAGACUCCUACGGGAGGCAGCAGUGGGGAAUAUUGGACAAUGGGCGAAAGCCUGAUCCAGCAAUGCCGCGUGAGUGAUGAAGGCCUUAGGGUUGUAAAGCUCUUUUACCCGGGAUGAUAAUGACAGUACCGGGAGAAUAAGCUCCGGCUAACUCCGU
rnacentral:rRNA from 1 species